ACCUCCGUAGUGUAGUAGUCAGCACGUUCGACAUGUAACCGAGCAGUCCGUGGUUCGAUUCCCGGCGAAGGCG
rfam:Stegodyphus mimosarum contig92057, whole genome shotgun sequence.